AGCUUUGCACAGUAGCAGUAUUGUAGCCAGUGCAGUUUGUGUGAGGCAUGAUUAUUGCUAAUUGAAAACUUUUCCCAAUACCCUGCCGUGACGACUUGCAACAUAGUCGACAUUGGCAAUUUUUGACAGUCUAUGGAGAC